rnacentral:rRNA from 1 species
CGUUAAAGUUGCUGCAGUUAAAAAGCUCGUAGUUGAACGUUCGGGUUCCGCGGGACGGGGCCGCCCCGCGAGGGACGGCGCCGCCCCGGGGCUCGUGAUAUCUUAUCUCGCCGCCCGUCGCGAGGCGGACGGAGGGAUGGAUGAGGUUACCUGGAAAAAAUCGGGGCGAUCUAGGCGGGCGAACCUCGCCAACGAACGAUCGGACAUGGGAUAACGGAAGAGGGCGUCGGCUCGACUUCGUCGGUUCCUCGGGGCCGAGGCACGUACGGUGAAUAGGGACGGUCGGGGCCGCCCGUACCGGGUCGUGAGAGGUGAAAUUCUAGGAUCGACCCGAGACGAACUGCCGCGAAAGCAUUCGGCAAGGACGCUUUCAUUAAUCAAGAACGAAAGUCGGGGGAUCGAAGACGAUCAGAUACCGUCGUAGUCCCGACCGUAAACGAUGCCGACCGAGGGCCCGGAGGAGUUACGUACGACCCUCCGGGCCCUCCCGCGAGAAAUCAGGAGUAUUCGGGUUCCGGGGGAGUAUGGUCGCAAGGCCGAAACUUAAAGGAAUUGACGGAAGG